UGCAGCAGAAGACGGUGCGAAACGGGAAGCAUUCGGACCCAAGAAGACGGAAGGAAUGAGACAUAUCCAAGUCCAGGUGUGAGGAGCCAGCUGAAACGGGGGAGUUUCCCCAAGACCCUUCAGGGAGGAGCCAGAAGGAGCUUCAGCACGGACUGGUUCAAAACUCAUUCAUGGCUUGAGUACUCACAGUCCAAAGACUCCGCAUAUUCUUUCCCCUGUAGAUAUUUCUCUUUACCUGAUGCCCCCAAGACUGUUUUCACCUCAAUUGACGGGUAUCGUAACUGGAAAAAGGCCACAAUGAAAGACAGUGGUUUCUGUUCUCAUGCCCGAUCUGAAAGCCAUGUAAAUGCAAUGUUUGCAUGGGCAGAAAACAAGCGAAUGAGUGACAAAAAUACCCCAAUGAUGGGAAUAAUGGAUGAGCAAAAUAAGAAAAAGGUGAUUGAAAAUCAAAACUACAUUAAAACACUAGCUGAAAUUCU